UCUUCCUCCUCCAUGCUCAAUCGGCUUUGAUACCAAUUUGUUGUGAAAAUUUGGUAUAGCUCCGAUACCAAUCAUGGACCGAUCUCUUGCAUGAAAAUCUGGAUGUUAAUCCGGCAAAAUGAAGAGUAGAAAAGGAGAAUGUGGAAGCUUGGUUGGAUGGUGGAUGGGAGCAGCAAGGCUGCCUUCUUCCUUGGCCUGCAACCCUAGGUGGAGAUUAGGGAGGUG
rnacentral:lncRNA from 1 species